AAAACUUUGGUUGGCUUGCUUGCUUUGUUUGUAUAGUUGUUUAUACAAGCUUUGAAAAUAAGAUUGACAUCUUUAAACAAUAUAUAUAUAUAUAUAGGUAUAGUUUAACUUGUAUAUUUUAUAUUUUGUACAAUAUACAAACAAAGCAAGCAAGCUAACCAAAGUUUUGCUCCACAUGCAUUAGAAAAUAAGCUAUAAUGAUUUUAUCCAUAUGUAUUUGCGACAAGGUGGAAAAUUUGAUAUGUUUUGUGAAAAUUGCAGCGUUGGAUCUAUAAUAAAAAAGAAGAUGUGGUAUGAUUGCCAAUGAAACAGCUGUCCACAAGAGACCAAAAUGACACAGAAAUUAACAUUUAUAGAUCACCGUACGGCCUUCAACAAUGAGCAAAGCCCAUAUCACAUAGUCAGCUAUAAAAGGCCCCGCCCAUGACAAUGUAAAACAAUUCAAACGAGAAAACUAACGGACCUUAAUUACAUGUAUAUAAAAAAAAAUUAACGAAAAACAAAUAUGUUACACAUAAACAAACGACAACC
rnacentral:lncRNA from 1 species